AAGCUCGUAGUUGAAUUUCGGGAUUGACAUGUUGGUCGUGCCUUAAGGGGUAUGAGCUGACAUUGUCGAUUUCUCACCUUCUGGAGAAUCACGAUGCUCUUAAUUGGGUGUCGUGUGGAUCCAGGACCUUUACCUUGAAAAAAUUAGAGUGUUUAAAGCAGGCAUUUUUGCUCGAAUACAUUAGCAUGGAAUAAUAAAAUAGGACGGCUUGGUUCUAUUUUGUUGGUUUCUAGGAUCACCGUAAUGAUUAAUAGGGAUAGUUGGGGGCAUUAGUAUUCAAUUGUCAGAGGUGAAAUUCUUGGAUUUAUUGAAGACUAGCUACUGCGAAAGCAUUUGCCAAGGAUGUUUUCAUUAAUCAAGAACGAAAGUUAGGGGAUCGAAGACGAUCAGAUACCGUCGUAGUCUUAACCAUAAACUAUGCCGACUAGGAAUCAGACGAUGUUAAUUUUUUAAUGACUCGUUUGGCACCUUACGGGAAACCAAAGUGUUUGGGUUCCGGGGGGAGUAUGGUCGCAAGGCUGAAACUUAAAGGAAUUGACGGAAGGGCACCACCAGGGGUGGAGCCUGCGGCUUAAUUUGACUCAACACGGGGAAACUUACCAGGUCCAGACAUAGAAAGGAUUGACAGAUUGAGAGCUCUUUCUUGAUUCUAUGGGUG
rnacentral:rRNA from 1 species